AUUUAAAAUACAUGGGAGGAUGUGUUUAGGUUAUAUGCAAAUACUACGCCAUUUUAUAUCAGGACUUGGACAUCCAUGGAUUUUGAUUAUCGGACGGGG